AAGGCUAAAUACUCCUGACUGACCGAUAGUGAACCAGUACCGUGAGGGAAAGGCGAAAAGAACCCCGGCGAGGGGAGUGAAAAAGAACCUGAAACCGUGUACGUACAAGCAGUGGGAGCCCCACCACUAAGCCAGUGGUGAACUCCACAUACGCAUCCUUUGCUGAGGAUACGGUUAACGGAGCGAAAGCGACGUUCAACCGCAAAAGAAGCAGAGGGGGCUUAGUGGUGGGGUGACUGCGUACCUUUUGUAUAAUGGGUCAGCGACUUAUAUUCUGUAGCAAGGUUAACCGUAUAGGGGAGCCGGAGGGAAACCGAGUCUUAACCGGGCGUUAAGUUGCAGGGUAUAGACCCGAAACCCGGUGAUCUAGCCAUGGGCAGGUUGAAGGUUGGGUAACACUAACUGGAGGACCGAACCGACUAAUGUUGAAAAA
rnacentral:rRNA from 1 species